rnacentral:rRNA from 1 species
UACGAAGGGAGCGAGCGUUGUUCGGAAUCACUGGGCUUAAAGCGUGCGUAGGCGGAUGUGUAAGUAAGAAGUGAAAUCCCAGGGCUUACCCUGGAACUGCUUUUUAGACUGCACAUCUGGAAUUCGGUAGAGGUUGGUGGAACUCCUAGUGUAGAGGUGAAAUUCGCAGAUAUUAGGAAGAACACCGGUGGCGAAGGCGACCAACUGGACCGAUAUUGACGCUGAGGCACGAAAGCGUGGGUAGCAAACAGG